rnacentral:ncRNA from 1 species
UAUCGAUAAAGGCAAAGUCACUGAAAGGUGGCGGCGCAAAGCUAAAGGGGCUAAGGCGGAUUACCCGCUAUGCCAGCCAGUUGCCGAA